UACGAAGGGGGCUAGCGUUAUUCGGAAUUACUGGGCGUAAAGCGCACGUAGGCGGACUCUUAAGUCAGGGGUGAAAUCCCGGGGCUCAACCUCGGAACUGCCUUUGAUACUGUGAGUCUCGAGACCGGAAGAGGUGAGUGGAAUUCCUAGUGUAGAGGUGAAAUUCGUAGAUAUUAGGAAGAACACCAGUGGCGAAGGCGGCUCACUGGUCCGGUACUGACGCUGAGGCGCGAAAGCGUGGGGAGCAAACAGG
rnacentral:rRNA from 1 species